ACAUGCAAGUCGAGGGGCAGCAUCGCGAUAGCUUGCUAUUGCGGAUGGCGACCGGCGCACGGGUGAGUAACGCGUAUCCAACCUUCCCGCAACUGGGGAAUAACCUUGCGAAAGUAAGACUAAUACCCCAUGGUCUCCACGGAUGGCAUCUGAAGUGGAGUAAAGGUUUCGGCCGGUUGCGGAUGGGGAUGCGUCCGAUUAGCUUGACGGCGGGGUAACGGCCCACCGUGGCAUCGAUCGGUAGGGGUUCUGAGAGGAAGGUCCCCCACAUUGGAACUGAGACACGGUCCAAACUCCUACGGGAGGCAGCAGUGAGGAAUAUUGGUCAAUGGGCGGAAGCCUGAACCAGCCAAGUAGCGUGAAGGACGACUGCCCUAUGGGUUGUAAACUUCUUUUAUGCGGGGAUAAAGUUCGCCACGUGUGGCGUUUUGCAGGUACCGCAUGAAUAAGGACCGGCUAAUUCCGUGCCAGCAGCCGCGGUAAUACGGAAGGUCCAGGCGUUAUCCGGAUUCAUUGGGUUUAAAGGGAGCGUAGGCCGCCUUUUAAGCGUGUUGUGAAAUGUAGGGGCUCAACCCCUGCACUGCAGCGCGAACUGGAGGGCUUGAGUACACACAAAGUAGGCGGAAUUCAUGGUGUAGCGGUGAAAUGCUUAGAUAUCAUGAAGAACCCCGAUUGCGAAGGCAGCUUACUGGAGUGUAACUGACGCUGAAGCUCGAAAGCGCGGGUAUCGAACAGGAUUAGAUACCCUGGUAGUCCGCGCGGUAAACGAUGGAUGCCCGCUGUUUGCCAAU
rnacentral:rRNA from 1 species